rnacentral:lncRNA from 1 species
GAAAUAGAAAUGGAACUCGAUGAAGAAAGUUUCUUCGAUAUAUAAGAAUUAUGAUAACAACUUGCCUUGGUAAUUAAUAACUUGAAGGAAAAUACGAAAACAGUAGCAGGAUUUUUAGCAGGAACCAUGAAUGCGAUCUCGGAUCAACCUCGGAUCAAUCACAAUUCACACUCGACACAAGUGUUCUCUCAAAGAUGAGAGAAAUUAGAUAGAAGACCAAAGUGGAAGCCAUGUGUAGGAGCGAGGCUGUGGAGUCUUUCUUUUAUUAUUUUUUUUCUUUUGUGCAGGUUUUGCUAUGGAAAUUUUUUUUGAAUGGGUGGAUUUGGGGAGGAAGCCGCAUACUAAAACAGAGAUAGAGAGAGUUGUUGGUUGCUCUAAGGUGGUCUGUUCUCUAAUCCAAAAAUGGGGGUGGGCAGCAGAGAUUUUUGUAGUAAUUCAGGGGAAGGGCAAAAGCUGCUCUCAGGUGUGACAGUAAGAGGUCAAGGAAAAUCCAGAGGUUCUUUUAGGGUCACCGUUGUUCUUCGCUUCUCCUCUCAAAGUGCGAGAUGAUCGAAUUCAGG